CUGAAAGAUCAGAUAUCUGCCA
rnacentral:siRNA from 1 species